rnacentral:misc_RNA from 1 species
AGCAGCCGCGGUAAUUCCAGCUCCAAUAGCGUAUAUUAAAGUUGUUGUGGUUAAAAAGCUCGUAGUUGAACCUUGGGCCUGGCUGGCCGGUCCGCCUCACCGCGUGUACUGGUCCGGCCGGGCCUUUCCCUCUGUGGAACCCCAUGCCCUUCACUGGGUGUGGCGGGGAAACAGGACUUUUACUUUGAAAAAUUAGAGUGCUCCAGGCAGGCCUAUGCUCGAAUACAUUAGCAUGGAAUAAUAGAAUAGGACGUGUGGUUCUAUUUUGUUGGUUUCUAGGACCGCCGUAAUGAUUAAUAGGGACAGUCGGGGGCAUCAGUAUUCAAUUGUCAGAGGUGAAAUUCUUGGAUUUAUUGAAGACUAACUACUGCGAAAGCAUUUGCCAAGGAUGUUUUCAUUAAUCAGGAACGAAAGUUAGGGGAUCGAAGACGAUCAGAUACCGUCGUAGUCUUAACCAUAAACUAUGCCGACUAGGGAUCGGACGAUGUUAUUUUUUGACUCGUUCGGCACCUUACGGGAA